UUCAUUUGCUUAAAACAAACAACAUUCCAAUUUUCUCUGUCUGCAUCUUUGGGUUUUAUUUAAUGCAGUCAUUUUAAAUUUACUCUGAUAUCUGCCCUUGCAGCUGUAGACUGUGUUCUGCAACCCCAACUGAACCAAACUGCGAGUGGAGGGCUGAGCCCAUUGCCUGAGAAGCACAACUGCAGUUUUGUGUUUCAGCUCUGUUCGAAAGCACAGGGAUUGCACUGCAAAGGCACUGAGGAGGGACCACGAUGCCACCUGGACCAGUUUCAGUGUGCCCAGCUGAUCUCAAGUCAGACCUGAGCAGUGGUACAGUGUCAGGCAUGUGAGAUAUUGGUGCCGGGCCGCACAGCCCCUUCCAGAACAGCGCUAUGAUCCGCUGAGCCUGGUACUGGAACUCUGGUGCAGAUCCACCCACAGCCCGAGGUGUGGCUGUCAGCAUUGCAGCACCAGGGGCUGCCAAGGCCUUUCGUGUCCUUUGGGGCUCUCGAUCUUUUGUUGGCCCUCUGUGCCCGACACAGAGCACAGGCUGUGCCUGAGCCCCUCCCCAGCACUGAGACCUGAGCUGGGCCUCACCCUGUAGGGCAGAGCCGUUCCAAUGGGGAGAGUGGAGGGGACCCAGGAAGCCCAGGGCAGCCUCUCGGGAGUACUGACAGUGCAGAGGCAAAGACUGGUUUGGCUUUGGAAACUGGACUCCUCCCACUAUCCCUGGGCAGAAGCAUAGAGAACACCAUUCCUAGUCAUGCCUUCUUCCUCAGGACCUGCCUGGAGGCUCCGGGGAGCUCAGGGCCAUGCUCUGGACUCCUGUUAUUUCAAUGCAGAAUCUCAGAGGACACCGAUCCCAGUCCUAUCCUCUUCCUGAGGGCUCACCUGGAGGCUACAGGGAGUUCAGGGCUGUUCACUGGACUCCUUUCAUGGUCCCCGUGCAGAAGCAUGUAGGACACCAGUCCCAGUCCUGCCCACAUCCUCAGGACUUGCCUGGAGGCUUCAGGGAGCUUGGUGCCAUCCACUGGACUUUUCCCUUUUUGUCAGUGCUGAAGCUAGAGGGCACCACUCCCAGUCCUGCCCUGUAAUAGAAAUGCUAAGUCAUGGCCUGAAGCAGUGAUUGAGCACCUGGUGGGAAGGCAGGGCCAACCCAGGGGUGCUCUGCCAGCAAUGCACCUGAUUGACUGGAAGGGCUGGAGCCAGGAUCCACCCCUUCCCAGACCUCAUUUAAGAGUUGCCAGUGGAGGUGAGGGUAUUUCCCGUUGGAGAUCACUGUCUACCUGAGGCCUUCCAAAGAUAAGCAGUUUUUUCCCUUUGUUUCUGCACCUGUGGCUGCAGCAUUUGGGCUCAUUCUUAUUUAUUGUAGCCAAAGACUUUUCCACCUCGCUAUUAUCAUAUUGUAGUCUUAGGUGCCUUUUUCCUGAGACUUCAGUGAAGAAGAGGUGAGAGGUUUUGGGGAAGGAUAAGGAUGGGAGAUGUGGAAGGAGGUAUUUUGAAGAGCAGCAGCUGGCCCAGGGGCUCUCUGGCAGAUGAUGACUCUUCAAUGCCAAGAUGGAAAUGGAGAGCCCCUGCUGUGCCACAAACAGAUAUCGCGACAUCUCCAGGCAAGCAUAUCAUGAUGUUAUAGUGCUUGCCUGUACCUGAUGGAGAUGGAUCCACCUCCUUUGGUUUCUUCUCAGGAGGUAGGUCCACUUCUAUGGGCUCAACAUCGCUCUUUGGUGGGUCUACGUCCAUUGCCUUGGGCUCACUGCUACUCCCCAGAAGCCUCUGCUUCUUUGGUAGAGGAGGAUUCAUUGUCCUCCUUGGAAGUUCCCACAGUGGGAGGGAAGGAUGUGUCUAUUUGAGCUCUCUGUCUCAGAUGUGUGCUUCCUCAACAGAAGUCGGUCAGCGAGUGGUGUUCUGUUGUCAGGGUCCCUGUUUCUAUAGCAGUCAGCAGGGAGGUGGCUCGGGACAUCAUAAGGCCAUGGCAGUGCGACCCUAAGAAUGUCCCAUGAGAACCAAAAUACGGCUGUGUUGGAAUAGAUGCCCAAGAGCCCUGUUUGUGCCUAGGGAGAUCGGUGUGCUUGCGUAUCCUGUGUGCUCUUCAGCAAGGACUUGGCAAGAACCAGCCCUGGAUGUUCGGCAAGGGAGCAGCAAUGAGAGAGGCGAGCCCAGUUAGUGGUGGGAGUCCUGAGCCAACGGGUGGCUGUGCCUCUGUCUAGACCGAAGAGGUUUGGACAUUUUCAGAUUAGCUUUGGAUAAGCCUCUGAACUUCUGGAUGCUUCUCCUAACCAGAUCAAACCUCUCAAAAGCUUGAGGUUUGUCCAUCACUAAUUUUCAUAUGAGUUACAUUAAAAACUCUUAAGUUGAAAUAUUUCUUAUUUUAAAAAUAGAAUAAUAAAACAAUAAAUCAGAAGGAAACGCAUGGUGGAAAAAAAAAGUAGAAAACAGAUGAAAAGCAAAAGGGAAAAGUGAACUUCGUAAAAAUACCAUACAUGCCAGACCCUUCAAAUAUGAUUUCCUGCAUAUUGCACUUUAAAAAGCAUGAUAUUACAACAUGCUCUCACAUGCAGGGGCCAAAAAUAUGAAAGAAUAAAGCCUUGUUUGAUCUCGAGUGUUGAAUGGAUGUCAUUUGACCCAUCCAUGAUCUGAUCCUAGACCUAGGACAUGUCAGAUGAUUUUCCACUCAAUGAGUGUCUGCACCACUCCCUUGUCUCUUCCCCACCCUCUUGUUGGACAGAUAGUGCUGACACGCUUCCUGUUAUGGGCUGCUGCUCCGGCUCUCGCGCCUGCUGGCACCGAGCCGCCUGUGGCUUGGGCACAGCACUUCAAAAGCCAUUUCUGGCACAUGGACGAAAUAUUUUGAAGUGAGUUUGGGUGGUUCCCAAAAAAACCUGCUCCAAGCGAGCAGAAAGAAAGCUUACAUUAUCUCAUGUAAAAGACCCAGAUCCUCUCCAGAGCCUGCCAGAGGUUUAUGAAAUGCUGCGUUGCUUCUGAGAAGCCUUGACAAAAAUAAAAAGCAUGAACAUGAUGCUGAGAAAACAGCUCAAUUGUCUGCUCUUAAUUUCUCAGGAUCUAUAAUGUACUUGAUGCCUGUCUUGUAAACGGUGCAAAGUACUUGUUUUGUAGUUGUUCAAAGCCAAUUGCACGUGUGAUGGAAGCUAUGGAAGAUGAAAGGGGGGAAACUUUAAAAAUGACACAGAAGUUAUGGCCACUACUAACACAUCUUUUGAAAUCAGUGUUUUAUGUGAUUUUUCAUUACUUAGUGAAAGUUUGUUGUACAAUUAGACCUUGAGAGCUUUGGAGAGAAGAUGCAGGCUGAAAAGCAGAUGCACAUUAUAUUUUGAUACAGAAACAGUGGUUGCUGGAGUCUUUGACAACAACGUCUUGAAUCAACAUGGAGUAACAGCUUUUCUCCUUUAACACGGCAUGACCAAGCCGGACAGGUGGAAACCUGAGCAGAGGUGUGUCCAGGACAGUCCCCCACCAGCGUGGAUGCCCUCACCCCACUGGAGCUGGUGGCCUUGGUGUGUCUCAGCCAGCACUGACCUGCCCAGGGAUGUGGCUGCAAUGGCUUAACGUUGGCAAUUAAUAGAGAAAUUCAAAAUGCCAAGAAUGUUGCUUAGAAAGAAGCAUGUGAUCCAGAUUUUCUGGUCUGCCCAAGCUGUGUUUGAAGCAAGACCAGGCGAGGGAAAACAAGUGUGACUUGGAGCUAUUUUUGAUGGCUUGAUCCUGGGACUAGUCCAGCUUCUGUAGCAAGUUAGAAUUGCUCUAGUUUCGUGCAAGCCCUGCUUGAAUUGAUGGCAUCAUGGUAUGUGAAUCUGUCCCCCUUUUGAUUGGAGCCCAUCUCCCCAUGCUGUGGGCUUGCAGAGCUGGUGUAUUCCCAGCGUGGCAGAGUACAGCCUUACUGCAUUAUGUCUGUAGAGAAUGCUGCAUAGGCCACUCCAUCCUUGGGCGAAUAACCGAUGGAGAAUGUGUGUAGUAUCCCACUAUUGUCAUAGCUGAGGUGAUCCAAACAGCAUAUAUGUGGGGCUGACCGUGGUCAGUGCCGUGAACAUGAGAGGAGCUGCAGCAAAGGAUACCUCCUGAAGUAACUCCUGAGGAAAUGUGCUUGAUAUCCCAUUGCUCUUCCAGGAGCUGCAGGCUGUGCCUGUGGAGCUGUGCAGGCUGCCAGACGUGGUCCCAUCACCUCGGUGUGGUUUUGGCCCCAGAGGAGGCUGCUGGUGAGGGGAAUGCCUGCAGGGAACAGAGGUGUGGUCUUCCCUUGUGCCCCUAUGCUCUGUUCUGUGCAUACAGCUGUGCAUUUGCUGGCAGUCUGAGAUGAGCAGCUCUGCUGCUCCUGGAGCCGAAUGGCUAUCCAGAUUAGUUCUUUGUAUUCUGCAUGGCUUUCUAGUGAAAUAAAACAAAACCAGAACACAGCCAUAUCUACUCUGCUGUUGCAUGAACUGUGUUGUUAGAGAAUCUCAGCCUGACAUUUAAAGUGUGGUUUCCCCUCAACCAUCCUUCCCCCCUCCCCCCCCCCCUUCGUGGUUUCCCCUCAACCAUCC